GUGGAAAGAACAUUGGACUUAUAUCCAGAGAACUUGGGUUCUUUUCUGCCUGGUUCCUUCCAGUGAGGAAGGUGAAAGAGUAGCUGACAUGGCUAUGACCUUGUCAGAAGACUGAGAUGCCAGAGUCGGGGAACUGGAGUGCCUGCAGGAUUCUGCAGACAGUGAAGUUGCCAGUAACCUUCUUGACACAGCAUAACAGUGGACUGAGGGCACCCAAGAGGGAGAACAGUGACCUAUUCAUCGGCUCUGCCUCAUUCAGAUGUGCAGUGAAUUUGGGCCAAUAUGUUACAGUAAAGGUUCUUAGGUUGAGCCUGCUCUACUCUGGGAAGAAGGUGGUAUGAAAGAGUAUGCCUCCAGGUAGCAGUGUUGAAUUCUGGCUUCUGCAGGGUAGCAAGCAGGAGAGGCCAACCUGAGAGAGAAAGCAGCCUCAGAAAACAAAAUUAAAAAGCCAAGAGGGAAAGAGACCAUUGGCAGACUUCUGGGCAUGAGCGGAGCUUUUCACUUGGAGUUGAAAAGAAUUUCCAAUAAGCCGUUGAAAGCAGAGUACGGAGAACUGGUGGCCAGAAGUGAUAUUAAAUUAUUGAAAUGAUGGGGGAGACAAUCAGAGGCCAUGCUUGGCACUUUAUCAUGCUGCUCCCCGGAAGCUCGAUCUAGCCCUGGGAUUCCCAUGAUGGAAGUGUUCUCGGACCAUUUGGCCUCUCCCUCUGAUUGGAUACCUCCUCCAAGAACCUCCAUUUAAGGGGGGCAACCAGUGGAGCCUCCUUCUUCUAUUCUCUCCAGGCUUAGUGCCAAACUUUAUUUACCAUGCUCCCUCGGCCUCCCUUUCAUGUAUUGUCUUUCCCAUUAGCAUGUAAGCUCCUUGAGGGCAGGGAAUUUUUUUUUCCUGUUAAUAAUUUUAAUUUUAAUGAUAAUUAUAAUAUUUCAGCUUGUAAUACUGGA